rnacentral:tRNA from 1 species
CUCGUUGUAGCUCAGUUGGAAAGAGCAUUCGCCUCCUAAGCGAAGGGUCGCAGGUUCGAAUCCUGCCAACGAGGCCA